rnacentral:rRNA from 1 species
CCCCUAGAUGUUCUGGGCCGCACGCGCGCUACACUGAACAGUUCAACAAGUCUUAACCUUGGCCGAUAGGUCUGGGUAAUCUUUGAACGCUGUUCGUGAUUGGGAUAGACCUUUGCAAUUAUGGGUCUUCAACGAGGAAUUCCUAGUAAACGCAAGUCAUCAGCUUGCAUUGAUUACGUCCCUGCCCUUUGUACACACCGCCCGUCGCACCUACCGAUUGAAUGGUCCGGUGAAAUCUCGGGACGGCGGCUUGGUCGCUUGCGUCCGCCUGCUGAAACUUGAUUAAACCAUAUCAUUUAGAGGAAGGUGAAGUCGUAACA